CGCGUGCCAGCCGAAAGAGAGCGAGUGAAGAAAAACAUAAAAAAAUAAAAAUAAGCUCCGCCUCUGCCUCUCUCCUCCCUCGCGCUCGAUUCACACCGCACCUCGCAGCGGUUCCUCCUCCUCCUCCCGGCUGCUUCCUCCUCAAUCCCCCCAAUCCGCCGGCCGAGGAAUUCGCCCGUGCGCCAGGGCUCCCGGAUGACCCCCGCCCCGACCCGCCGCUCCCCCUGCUGCUGCUUCGCCUCCUCGCUCAACCCCCCCGGAGCCGCCGCCGCCCGCUAGUCCCUCGCCGGGCGAGCAGAAGAUCCGGUUUUGGCCCCCGCCUCCGCCGCCGCCGCCGCCGCCGUCGUCUUUCUGCGGAGAGCUGAUCGCGGGUGGGGAGCGCGCCGAGCUCGAGGCUCCAAAACUGAAGAAAUUGGUUGUAUGUGGUAGCUUGUGGCAGCAAAAAGGAAUGCCCUUUCCCCCCUUCUUUCUUGCUCUGUAGAAAUGAUUUGCCCCAUGAACAUAAAGGAGCAAAGCCGCAGCCUUGCCUGCUAAGGUUGCUUCAUCAUCGUUGAUGCCGCCUUUCGGGACAACACCGCCCGUUCGUUCCCUCGUUUUCUCACUGGACGAGGCUUUCUUGUUGGAUUAUUAGUAUUAUUACUAUUAUAGUCGUGCAACUUUUCCGCCAUUUUUCCUCGUGAGGCGGCCACUAACUCUGCAGGAAUAAUAAUAGUCUUGCAACUUUUCCACCAUUAUUUCUCCUGUUGACGCAGCCACUAACCCUGCAGGAAAACAGGGUUGCCAGAUACAGUUACCCAUAUCUCUUGUUAAUAAUCCGUGUUUUGUUAUUACCAGUUUAGAUAUAUCUUUUUUUAGCGGACAGCAGUAGGUGAGGCCCUCAUUUCGCAAUCCACACCGAGCACGUCAGCCGUUCGUAUCAGAGAAAUUAAGGUGGAUAUCGCCUGCAGUUAGUUCGCUCUCCCUGAACGGCCUCUCGGGCAUAAUCGGCAGUUAAGACGCAAUCCACUAUUUUAAGGCUGCUACAGAAAGCGUCUGAUUGGAUUAUGGGACUGUUCCAGCUUUUCUUGUUUUCAUAACGUGUGAUGGGAGUAAUCAUAUUGGGUUGUUCAAUCAGCCUUUGAUUUGAUCUUGCAUGUUAUUAGGUUGUUGAUUUGGUUGCUUAGACUGAUAAUAAGUUGUGCUAAUAAUAUCUUAUAAUGUGGUAGUGGUCCCAGGAGGGGGAGGAUUGCGUACUAAUCUGUUGGUUUUCUCCGAUCUGUCGUAAUCGUGACUAGUGUAUCGAACACAUUUAGUGAGGGUGCUCCUAACGUGACGGCUCGGAUCAUUCAUUUAUGUCGAGUCUCUCACCAGUCCUUGACUUUGUUGCAGCCGCGCAAAAUUAGCCGUGUAUCGCGCAUUUCCUGUUCUUCUUUUGGUGUCCAUUCCCUUAUGCUAAAAUCACUGAAUCUACUUGGUAGGGGCAGUGCUUUUGACAGAGAAUUUGAGCCCCACGGAUGAGCAUGUGUGAGAAAGAUCAAAAUUUCCACUGGGCCUACGACCUUUUCCAUGACCCCUUUGCCGCUCCCAACAGCUACUACGGACAUCCUAAUGGUUACAGUGACAGCAGCUAUUGUGACUACAAUUAUGCUAGAGAUGCAUCGCAUCCCGAUGAGACAUAUUUGCAUUCCUCCGCACUUACGUGUGAUAUGUACAACCCACAAGUAGGCAUGUACCAUCCUGGUAGUGAAAAUAUCCAUGGAAAUGUUGGCGGGCAGGAGCAUGAGGCAGUCUACGUAGAUCCGUCUAGUUCCUCUUCAUACCCUGAGAGUGACGAUUGUUUUGAAAUGGAGGAAGAAGUAGGGAAGAGAUUUUACCCCAUGGUCCCAGUUCCCCAUGUCCCUAAAAUUAAUGGUGAAAUUCCAUCACUCGACGAAGCCACCAUGGACCAUGAAAGGCUGUCAGACAGGUUGAGGCUCUAUGAACUAACUGAGAACAAGGUGAAAGGUGAUGGCAAUUGUCAGUUCCGUGCACUAUCAGAUCAGCUGUACCAAACUCCGGACCACCAUGAGUUUGUGAGGGAGCAGAUAAUUAGCCAGGUAAUCAACAGUGGUAAUCUUUCUUUCGUGAUCCUUAGUUUCAUUCUUUGUUUUCACACUUUCAUCUUUCGUCUGAUAAAUAAUCGGUUCCAGCUUAAAAGUAACCGGGAAGCCUAUGAUGGAUACGUCCCCAUGGCAUAUGAUGAGUAUCUGGAGAAAGUAUCACGAAAUGGUGAAUGGGGUGACCAUGUGACUUUACAGGCUGCUGCUGACAAGUACGGAGUGAAGAUUUUCGUCAUGACCUCGUUCAAGGAUACGUGCUACAUCGAGAUCCAACCCAAGGUUCAGAAGUCCAACAAGGGUAUGCAGAUGAUUCAUUUUCUUUACAGUUCCAAGUGGGGUUGGUUUUGGCACUUGACAAUGUACUCUGCUAUUUUUUUCUUCUCUGGUUUCAGUGGUGCUGUUGAGCUUUUGGGCGGAGGUUCACUACAACUCGAUAUUUCCACAGAACGGUGAGUAGCAUGCCUUGCCUGCCAUUGGCAUACAUGCAAUGCAUGUCCAGUCCCCGCCGCAAACACGCUCCGAGGUUGCAUCACACGGCGAAGAAGAGGAGAUGGUGGCCCUUCUCGCAGCACCACCAUUGAUGAGGCUCUCUUCCCCCUCCUCGGCGCGUGUACUCUGACGGCGUUCCGGCGUGCAAAGCACUCUUGCUUCUCCACCGAGAUGGAUGGCCCCGGGGCAACGCGCUCCUGGUCGUCCUGGGAGGGGCCGUCGUGGCGUGCGCUCGCUCUGACAGGAGGAGAGAAAAGAAAAAAGGCGUUAUGGUUGUCUGAGAUUAUAUUAUAGAUACAUGGAAUGGAAGGAAUAAUGAACAUGCGACCUGUCCCGUAUAUAGUUUUGGGUUGCAUUGCAGGCUCUGUUAUGUAUUUACAUACAAAAUUUUGCCGGAAUGAGGCUACAUACAGUUAAUCAUUCAUUUGGAAUACAAAUGAUAUUGAUGGUGAUACUACUAAUAAUAACUGGGUGGAGGCAGUGUUAAAGAA